CCUGGCUCAGGAUGAACGCUGGCGGUAUGCUUAACACAUGCAAGUCGAACGGUGUCUUCGGACAUAGUGGCGGACGGGUGAGUAACGCGUGAGAAUCUGGCUUCAGGUCUGGGACAACCACUGGAAACGGUGGCUAAUACCGGAUGUGCCGAGAGGUGAAAGGCUUGCUGCCUGAAGAUGAGCUCGCGUCUGAUUAGCUAGUUGGUAGUGUAAUGGACUACCAAGGCGACGAUCAGUAGCUGGUCUGAGAGGAUGAUCAGCCACACUGGGACUGAGACACGGCCCAGACUCCUACGGGAGGCAGCAGUGGGGAAUUUUCCGCAAUGGGCGAAAGCCUGACGGAGCAAUACCGCGUGAGGGAGGAAGGCUCUUGGGUUGUAAACCUCUUUUCUCAGGGAAGAAAACAAUGACGGUACCUGAGGAAUAAGCAUCGGCUAACUCCGUGCCAGCAGCCGCGGUAAUACGGAGGAUGCAAGCGUUAUCCGGAAUGAUUGGGCGUAAAGCGUCCGCAGGUGGCUGUGUAAGUCUGCUGUUAAAGAGUCUAGCUCAACUAGAUAAAGGCAGUGGAAACUACACGGCUAGAGUGCGUUCGGGGCAGAGGGAAUUCCUGGUGUAGCGGUGAAAUGCGUAGAGAUCAGGAAGAACACCGGUGGCGAAGGCGCUCUGCUAGGCCGCAACUGACACUGAGGGACGAAAGCUAGGGGAGCGAAUGGGAUUAGAUACCCCAGUAGUCCUAGCCGUAAACGAUGGAUACUAGGCGUGGCUUGUAUCGACCCGAGCCGUGCCGUAGCUAACGCGUUAAGUAUCCCGCCUGGGGAGUACGCACGCAAGUGUGAAACUCAAAGGAAUUGACGGGGGCCCGCACAAGCGGUGGAGUAUGUGGUUUAAUUCGAUGCAACGCGAAGAACCUUACCAAGGCUUGACAUGUCGCGAAUCUCCUUGAAAGGGGAGAGUGCCUUCGGGAGCGCGAACACAGGUGGUGCAUGGCUGUCGUCAGCUCGUGUCGUGAGAUGUUGGGUUAAGUCCCGCAACGAGCGCAACCCUCGUUUUUAGUUGCCAGCACUUCGGGUGGGCACUCUAGAGAGACUGCCGGUGACAAACCGGAGGAAGGUGGGGAUGACGUCAAGUCAGCAUGCCCCUUACGCCUUGGGCUACACACGUACUACAAUGCUCCGGACAGAGGGCAGCAAGCUAGCGAUAGCAAGCUAAUCCCAUAAACCGGAGCUCAGUUCAGAUCGCAGGCUGCAACUCGCCUGCGUGAAGGAGGAAUCGCUAGUAAUUGCAGGUCAGCAUACUGCAGUGAAUUCGUUCCCGGGCCUUGUACACACCGCCCGUCACACCAUGGAAGCUGGUAGUGCCCGAAGUCAUUACUCCAACCUUUCGGGGGGGAGGAUGCCUAAGGCAGGACUGGUGACUGGGGUGAAGUCGUAACAAGGUAGCCGUACCGGAAGGUGUGGCUGGAUCACCUCCUUUUUAGGGA
rnacentral:rRNA from 1 species